rnacentral:rRNA from 1 species
GCUCACCUCUUCCCAUUCCGAACAGAGAAGUUAAGCCCGUUAGCGCAGAUGGUACUGCUAUUUGUGGGAGAGUAUGUCACCGCCUUUU